AGGAGCUAUGUUGCAGACUUGUAAGGAACACAAUAACCAGUAUGGUUGCUAUCCUGCGUGCUAGUCCCAUGGGGAAAGAAGUCAGUUACCCGUCAAAAUUGGAAAUAAGAGCCAUGUCACAGAAGAUUAUAGACUAUUACCCAAUGUUACGGGAUGAUGAUCCAAACAUGCCUUAUCUGACUAUCUACACCAAAAUGUACAAGCGACUCCAAAAUAUGAGAUCCCCACGGAAGAGGCAAGGCUCUGUACCACAAAGAGGAGUGGCAAAGACAGCUCUCUUCAGUGCAGACAACCAAGACAUGGAGACGGAUUGGACAGACACAAGCAACUCAAGUGAUAAUACCUUACUUCUUGAGAGCAAUGAUGACCUUACCGAGGACAACUCCAGUGAAGCAUUCCCAGCACAUCGACCCCCCUCUGUGCCAAGGAAGCCAAAGACCAAAACCUUCCUGCUGCCAUCCGCAUCAGCCUCAGGCUCCUCACUCAGGACUGUGAUCGCUUCACCAACCACGCCUGCAAAGGAUGAUGUUGGCAAUGGAUGAGCUGCGGCGCAUAGUAGGUGGCACCAACAGCAGAUACAUCGAGGAAGUGAAAGGAAGAUGGGCAGACUUUUGUGCCAAGGUGCAGUUCUAUGGUGUGUGGAAGAAAGCCCUGAAACCCCCCUUUCCAUUGGAUGUCCGUGGAGUGGAGUUCACGCUUGCCCUCUUCAAUGCACUCCCAUCCCUUUUCCCCUCACCAACUUCACCACCAAAGAAGCUUGGAAAUAGCUGUGAGGCACUUCUUCAUGUCCUGAAGUCAGGCGAAGACCCUGCCCUGUACCUGGAAAAGCAUCCUCUCUCCUCCCCAGUUCUGCUUUCUGAUGGCUCAACCACCAUUGUGGCUGUGGGUAAUGUACCUGUGACCACCCUCCCUCAGGAAGAUUUCUCAGACGGGAUGUUGGUGUUAAUGGCAUAUUACUACACUUUGCACUUAAGAUAUCCAAAAUGUGUUGCAACGCUCCUGUCAGUUAUUCAAACAGAGGUAAUUGGUGACACAAUCCACGAUCAAGAUGCCACUAGUGCUUACAGGAAAGCAAUGGCUGAUUGGAAGUCUUUCAUUGAGAAGUAGCUGAGUAUUUUGUCAUGCCAGUUCUUAUUGUUAGCUGUGAGUUCUUAUUGUUAGCUGUGCCUAAUAAUAGUUUUGUGUUGCACAAGCUUAUACAGUCACUGAGUUAUUACCUCAUUUAGGCCUGUAUUUAAAAUGAUAGUUAAGGAAAAAUCCAUAACUGAGGGCUGAGAAGUGUUUUUGUUUUUUGCCCUUUUGCUUUUAAUUUCUUUUAUUUUUAUGGAAAAGUAUUCAAAUGUCUAUAGCAAACUUGACUUGCUGAUGUUAAAUAAAUGUUGUCUUAAGCCAUGUUAUUUCUGCACCAUUAUUCUAAAAAAGGACAGGCUUUAGAUUUUAAGAUGCUCAAAGUAAGAAAACAAAAUGGGUAAUUGCUUAUAUUUAGUAUAUUUCACUUAUUUUGAGGCUGUAAAAGUUUAAAUUUAAGUAAUCUAGUCUUAAAAACAGCAUUUUAUGCUUAUAUUUAGUAUAUUUCAC
ensembl:lncRNA